rnacentral:rRNA from 1 species
UAAUACAUGCAGUCGAACGGUGUCUUCGGACAUAGUGGCGCACGGGUGCGUAACCCGUAUGCAACCUACCUUACAUUGGGGGAUAGCCUUUCGAACGGGAGAUUAAUACCGCAUAAGACAGUAGCUGGGCAUCCAGUAGCUGUUAAAGAUUUAUCGAUGUAAGAUGGGCAUGCGACCAAUUAGUUAGUUGGCGAGGUAACGGCUCACCAAGACUAUGAUUGGUAGGGGAACUGAGAGGUCAAUCCCCCACACUGGCACUGAGAUACGGGCCAGACUCCUACGGGAGGCAGCAGUAGGGAAUAUUGGGCAAUGGACGCAAGUCUGACCCAGCCAUGCUGCGUGCAGGAUGAAGGCGUUAUGCGUCGUAAACUGCUUUUAUACAGGAAGAAACGACUCUUGCGAGAGGCAUUGACGGUACUGUAUGAAUAAGCACCGGCUAACUCCGUGCCAGCAGCCGCGGUAAUACGGAGGGUGCAAGCGUUGUCCGGAUUUAUUGGGUUUAAAGGGUGCGCAGGUGGUUUAUUAAGUCAGUGGUGAAAGACGGUCGCUCAACGAUUGCAGUGCCAUUGAAACUAGUAGACUUGAGUAAAGUAGAGGUGGGCGGAAUUGAUAGUGUAGCGGUGAAAUGCAUAGAUAUUAUCAAGAACUCCCAUUUGCGUAGGCAGCUCACUUGGCUUUUACUGACACUCAUGCACGAAAGUGUGGGUAUCAAACAGGAUUAGAUACCCUGGUAGUCCACACUGUGAACGAUGAUAACUAGGCGUCGGCCGAAUCUGGUCGGUGCCACAGCGAUAGCGUUAAGUUAUCCACCUGGGGAGUACGCCGGCAACGGUG